rnacentral:rRNA from 1 species
GUAAGACCCGAUAUGCCUUUAGUACAUAAGUACGCAAGGGAAACAUUUAUGGCUCUAAGAUGAGACUGUACAGUAUCAGAUAGUUGGUAGGGUAAUGGCCUACCAAGUCUAUGACGCUUAACUGGUUUGAGAGGAUGAUCAGUCACACUGGAACUGAGACACGGUCCAGACUCCUACGGGAGGCAGCAGUGGGGAAUAUUGCACAAUGGACGAAAGUCUGAUGCAGCAACGCCGCGUGGAGGAUGACACAUUUCGGUGCGUAAACUCCUUUUAUAUGAGAAGAUAAUGACGGUAUCAUAUGAAUAAGCACCGGCUAACUUCGUGCCAGCAGCCGCGGUAAUACGAGGGGUGCAAGCGUUACUCGGAAUCACUGGGCGUAAAGAGAAUGUAGGCGGGUAAUUAAGUUGGAAGUGAAAUCCUAUGGCUCAACCAUAGAACUGCUUCCAAAACUGAUUACCUAGAGUAUGGGAGAGGUAGAUGGAAUUUCUGGUGUAGGGGUAAAAUCCGUAGAGAUCAGAAGGAAUA